rnacentral:rRNA from 1 species
CGACCUGCACGAAUGGCGUAACGAUGGCGGCGCUGUCUCCACCCAAGACUCAGUGAAAUUGAAAUCGCUGUUAAGAUGCAGUGUAUCCGCGGCUAGACGGAAAGACCCCGUGAACCUUUACUACAGCUUCACAGUGGACUUUGAAUAUGCUUGUGUAGGAUAGCUGGGAGACUUUGAAACCGGGACGCUAGUUUCGGUGGAGUCAACCUUGAAAUACCAGCCUGGCAUGUUUGAGGUUCUAACCUAGACCCGUGAAUCCGGGUCAGGGACAUUGUGUGGUGGGUAGUUUGACUGGGGCGG